rnacentral:lncRNA from 1 species
CUCCAAUAUCACUAGUGCGGGUAUUCUCUGGUAAACAGCCUCAGCGGUCUUAACUUUCCCUAGUAUGCACUCGCCCCUGAUGAGGCCUUUCUCCCAUGCGCUCACAGAGGAGGCCAAUUAGGCCUCAAUUCUCCACUCAUCCUCAACAACUAGCUGCCUUCCAGCCGGGACGGGCCAGCACACCCAAUGAAAGGCUACUAAGGGCGGAGAGAACACAUGUGAGGAACCGAACUCAGCAUGUCCCGGAAGUUCUGAUCCAGCUGCAGGGACCCCCAGGGACCCCCCCCCCCUUUCGGGGCUUAGACUGCUCCUCCUCUUCCUUCUGUGCUCGAGGUCCCUGGGGAGAGGCCUUUCCAUGGCCCCUGGAGAAACUGGUAAAGGCCAUACGUCACAGCCUCAGCCUAGGCAGGGGCCAUUUCUCUUCACAAUGUCCCCUCACAGUAGGGACCAUCAGGCCCACCAUGGAGGAGAGAAGAGAUGGCACGGAGAUAGAGACCACUAGAAAUGGGAGAGACGAGGAGAGUGACCAGCUUCACUGUGCCUCACGAGCAUUCCACACAAACUCUGUGAGCCUCCCAGCUGUGUAGACGGAGAAGCGGUGUGGGUCAUGAACUGGCCAUCUAGAGUUCUGCUGAGUGUCCUGGUGGAAUCUCAACCUCAGCUCUGACGAAGGCGGGCAUGGCAGCAGAAGACACCCCUGUACCCUGCUGUGCUCCAAAGAGUACAAUCUUGGGGCUCAGGCGGGACUCAGUGUCUGAUGCAUGUGCCAAAGGGCAGCAAUCACCCCCUGCCCCGUCUCAGGGGCACCCGUGCCCAGUGGAUUCUGCUUGCGAAGUUAGCCAUCAACCAGAAUGAUGUCUUUAUUAUACUCAGCAUAUUCAUCCAACCAAAAAAUCAAUUUAUGGCAGCUAUUAUUAAAGAUACUGUAUUAAAUAUACUCAAGAUAGGGCUGGGGAUUUAGCUCCAUGGUUUCGCCGCCUGCUGUGCAAGCACAAGGACCCGAGUUCGAUCCCUAGUACCAAAAAAAAUAUACUCAAGAUAGUCAAAAGAAAAGAUCCAAAUCUUACAAAGAAAAAAAUCUUUACAAAGAAUAAGGGAAACACAGAGAUAAACACACUUGCAGUGCCUGAGAUUCCAACCAGCAGAAGAAGAGGAGAGAGACAGUGUGGUCCAGGAUGCUUGAAAGGCAGAGAACUUUCCUGAUACUAAAUUCCGACAGAGAUUUAUUUUCAGACUAUUAUGCAGCAGGCAACGUGGGCAGCACGUAUUUGGUGGAAGAUGGAGCGGCAGCUUUCCCCAAGUGCCUGGGACUGGACAAGGGCAAAGUACUGAAACUGAAGGAGUAGGGGUCUUCCUGCAAGCACAGCAAGGGUCAGCUGUAGUGGGGUGACUCAAAGGCACAGUGCAAUCAUACCUAGGGUUCCCCACGCUAUCCCUGCUCUUAGCCAAACAUUGUUUCUUUCUAAAUGUGAAUGCCAGUGGUUGCAUCACACGGCAGUGGCCCUGCGGUCUUGACCACCUGAGCCACCCCCAGAGGACAUGUCCACGGGGGCUGCAGAUCACUGAGGCAGCAGGUGGGCUAGACAGGGCAGCCUGGUGCCUGGGGACCCUUGAGGCUGGUCUGCAAGAGGCCUCUGAGCCCCCAUCCUUGUUUUAGACCUUCUGAUCUUACCACCCCUGGGCUGGAAAACCCUAAGAUCAAGAAGGAAGAGUAGGAUGAGGGGCAGAGCUGGUCCAGGCGUCACCCUAGCAGGGAGAACCCCCGGUGUUCUCGGUCUGCUGCUAGCACAGAACAGAGGUGCUGGGAGGAGGGAGGGCAAGAAAAGGAGAUAGAGACAAAUGAUCUAAAGUCUCCUUUGGGAUGUCAGCUCCAUGUGCCUGUUUUUGGUCUUCAGUACCUACCACAGUGGCUGGUACAUAAUAGAUGCUUAGUAAAUAUUUGAGGGGAAAAGAAAAUAAUACUGAGGGGGCUAGAGUUCAGGUGUUGGGAAGCUGUGAGGGAAGAGAGUGAACUCCUCAGACUGGAGGGAGAAGGGGAUAGCCCCAGUUCCUGGAGGGUUGGAGUGAGGCCCACAGGGACAAGGUGGAGGGAAGACUCAGCUGUUUGGAGGUGACUGCUGUGAUUCACUACCUACUGGAAGUGUGGCCUCAGAUGGCAGACUUCAUGCAAUUCCUCAUUUGCAAAAUGUAUUAAAUAAUUCCUGCCUGUAAAAUGCUUGAGAACCCUGGAUAAGGUCCAACUGAAAGUGUCAAGGACAGGGCACCUGAGUUCUAGCAAGUGGAGGCUAAG